UACGGGGGGGGGCAAGCGUUGUUCGGAAUUACUGGGCGUAAAGGGCUCGUAGGCGGCCAACUAAGUCAGACGUGAAAUCCCUCGGCUUAACCGGGGAACUGCGUCUGAUACUGGAUGGCUGGAGUUUGGGAGAGGGAUGCGGAAUUCCAGGUGUAGCGGUGAAAUGCGUAGAUAUCUGGAGGAACACCGGUGGCGAAGGCGGCAUCCUGGACCAACACUGACGCUGAUGAGCGAAAGCCAGGGGAGCAAACGGG
rnacentral:rRNA from 1 species